rnacentral:rRNA from 1 species
GACGAACGCUGGCGGCGUGCUUAACACAUGCAAGUCGAACGGAAAGGCCCCUUUGGGGGUACUCGAGUGGCGAACGGGUGAGUAACACGUGAGUAACCUGCCCUUGACUUCGGGAUAACUUCAGGAAACUGGGGCUAAUACCGGAUAGGAAUCCUUGCUGCAUGGUGGGGGUUGGAAAGCUUCGGCGGUUUUGGAUGGACUCGCGGCUUAUCAGCUUGUUGGUGGGGUAGUGGCUUACCAAGGCUUGACGGGUAGCCGGCCUGAGAGGGCGACCGGCCACAUUGGGACUGAGAUACGGCCCAGACUCCUACGGGAGGCAGCAGUGGGGAAUAUUGCACAAUGGGCGGAAGCCUGAUGCAGCAACGCCGCGUGCGGGAUGACGGCCUUCGGGUUGUAAACCGCUUUCAGCAGGGGCGAAGCUUGUGGUGACGGUACCUGCAGAAGAAGCACCGGCUAACUACGUG